rnacentral:rRNA from 1 species
GGCGGGCUUACAUGCAAGUCGAACGAUGAAGCCCAGCUUGCUGGGUGGAUUAGUGGCGACGGGUAGUAACACGUGAGUAACCUGCCCUUAACUCUGGGAUAAGCCUGGGAAACUGGGUCUAAUACCGGAUAGGAGCGUCCACCGCAUGGUGGGUGUUGGAAAGAUUUAUCGGUUUUGGAUGGACUCGCGGCCUAUCAGCUUGUUGGUGAGGUAAUGGCUCACCAAGGCGACGACGGGUAGCCGGCCUGAGAGGGUGACCGGCCACACUGGGACUGAGACACGGCCCAGACUCCUACGGGAGGCAGCAGUGGGGAAUAUUGCACAAUGGGCGAAGCCUGAUGCAGCGACGCCGCGUGAGGGAUGACGGCCUUCGGGUUGUAAACCUCUUUCAGUAGGGAAGAAGCGAAAGUGACGGUACCUCAGAAGAAGCACCGGCUAACUACGUGCCAGCAGCCGCGGUAAUACGUAGGGUGCGAGCGUUAUCCGGAAUUAUUGGGCGUAUAAAGAGGCUUCGUAGGCGUUUCGCGUYYUGUCGUGAAUCCGGGGCUUAACCCGGAUCUGCGGUGGGUACGGGCAGACUAGAGUGCAGUAGGGGAGACUGGAAUUCYUGGUGUAGCGGUGGAAUGCGCAGAUAUCAGGAGGAACACCGAUGGCGAAGGCAGGUCUCUGGGCUGUAACUGACGCUGAGGAGCGAAAGCAUGGGGAGCGAACAGGAUUUAGAUACCCUGGUAGUCCAUGCCGUAAACGUUGGGCACUAGGUGUGGGGACCAUUCCACGGUUUCCGCGCCGCAGCUAACGCAUUAAGUGCCCCGCCUGGGGAGUACGGCCGCAAGGCUAAAACUCAAAGGAAUUGACGGGGGCCCGCACAAGCGGCGGAGCAUGCGGAUUAAUUCGAUGCAACGCGAAGAACCUUACCAAGGCUUGACAUGUUCUCGAUCGCCGUAGAGAUACGGUUUCCCCUUUGGGGYGGGUUCACAGGUGGUGCAUGGUUGUCGUCAGCUCGUGUCGUGAGAUGUUGGGUUAAGUCCCGCAACGAGCGCAACCCUCGUUCCAUGUUGCCAGCACGUCGUGGUGGGGACUCAUGGGAGACUGCCGGGGUCAACUCGGAGGAAGGUGAGGACGACGUCAAAUCAUCAUGCCCCUUAUGUCUUGGGCUUCACGCAUGCUACAAUGGCCGGUACAAUGGGUUGCGAUACUGUGAGGUGGAGCUAAUCCCAAAAAGCCGGUCUCAGUUCGGAUUGGGGUCUGCAACUCGACCCCAUGAAGUCGGAGUCGCUAGUAAUCGCAGAUCAGCAACGCUGCGGUGAAUACGUUCCCGGGCCUUGUACACACCGCCCGUCAAGUCACGAAAGUUGGUAACACCCGAAGCCGGUGGCCUAACCCUUGGGGGGAGCCUAAA